AGAGCAGCAAGUUCUACACACACAGCACAAGGCCUACCUUCACUCUGGUGUGAGGCACUUUCACAGUGGCAACUACAGAGAAUUCUGCAGGAAAGAAUGGGCAGUUAAUGAAGAGCUGAGAGGAUGGAAAGGUCAGAGCCUGUGUAGGACUGAAGACCUGCACCCCACGAGCACCUCCCUCCUGCACCAUACGAACCCCAGACAGAGCCUCCCCAUUAUGGGGCAGUACCCAAGACAACAGGUCCAUGGGACGGAGAUCUGAAGAGGAGGAAGAGAGAAACUGCAUGAAAAGAAGCUGAAGAAGAAAGUCAAAGCAUAGCUGGUCACUAGAAUGUUGUUUUGGGUGCUGGUCUCUACUGGUCCACUAGGUAGACAAGCACCCAACCAGCACAAACCAGCAUAAAACAUCCUGGAAAGUCAUACACAUCUGGGAUGGCAUGAGGGUGUGCAGAGGUGUCCAGACAGCAGCAGGCAAAUCACCUGUCACCUGUAGGAUCAAAUGAGCAUGUUAACAGAUCAGAACUACAACUGAGGGCUCCAGGGGGAGAAGUGGUGUAUUUAGAGAGACAUUCAAAUGAAACCAUGUCA